AUUGAACGCUGGCGGCAGGCCUAACACAUGCAAGUCGAGCGAGUGUCGGACGGGUGCGUAAUGUAUGGGGAUCUGCCCGAUAGAGGGGGAUAACUACUGGAAACGGUGGCUAAUACCGCAUACUAUCGGAUGAACCCAUAUGGGAUUAGCUAGUUGGUGGGGUAAAGGCUCACCUAGGCGACGCUCCCUAGCUGGUCGGAGAGGAUGACCGGCCACACUGGGACUGAGAAACGGCCCAGACUCCUACGGGAGGCAGCAGUGGGGAAUAUUGCACAAUGGGCGCAAGCCUGAUGCAGCCAUGCCGCGUGUAUGAAGAAGGCCUUAGGGUUGUAAAGUACUUUCAGCGGGGAGGCGUUACCCGCAGAAGAAGCACCGGCUAACUCCGUGCCAGCAGCCGCGGUAAUAC
rnacentral:rRNA from 1 species